rnacentral:rRNA from 1 species
AUUGAACGCUGGCGGCAUGCCUUACACAUGCAAGUCGAACGGCAGCACGGGGGCAACCCUGGUGGCGAGUGGCGGACGGGUGAGUAAUGCAUCGGAACGUGCCCUGAAGUGGGGGAUAACGCAGCGAAAGCUACGCUAAUACCGCAUAUUCUGUGAGCAGGAAAGCAGGGGAUCGCAAGACCUUGCGCUUUUGGGAGCGGCCGAUGUCGGAUUAGCUAGUUGGUGGGGUAAAGGCCUACCAAGGCGACGAUCCGUAGCGGGUCUGAGAGGAUGAUCCGCCACACUGGGACUGAGACACGGCCCAGACUCCUACGGGAGGCAGCAGUGGGGAAUUUUGGACAAUGGGCGAAAGCCUGAUCCAGCCAUGCCGCGUGAGUGAAGAAGGCCUUCGGGUUGUUAAAGCUCUUUCGGUGGGGUAAGAAAUUAGCAUAGGCUAAU